AACGCACCUUGCACCCUUUGGUAUUCCGAAGGGUACACCCGUUUGAGUGUCAUUGUAAUCUCACUAUGUUCAACUUUUUGUUGUUCAUAUGUGGACCUGGAUGUUGCUGUUGGUUUUCGACAGCUCGUCUGAAAUGCUUCAGUGUACCCCACUUUGUGGCGUAUUCGGUGUAAUACAUUGUCACCGGAGUUGAUCCUUUUGGGUCGCGUCAGUAAGAGUGUGGCUCUAUGCUUUCCAACCGUCCCUUCAUUGGGACAAUCUUCUUGACAAUUUGACCUCAAAUCGGGUGGGACUACCCGCUGAACUUAA
rnacentral:misc_RNA from 1 species